GGUUAAGCGACUAAGCGUACACGGUGGAUGCCCUGGCAGUCAGAGGCGAUGAAGGACGUGCUAAUCUGCGAAAAGCGUCGGUAAGGUGAUAUGAACCGUUAUAACCGGCGAUGUCCGAAUGGGGAAACCCAGUGCAAUUCGUUGCACUAUCGUUAACUGAAUACAUAGGUUAACGAGGCGAACCGGGGGAACUGAAACAUCUAAGUACCCCGAGGAAAAGAAAUCAACCGAGAUUCCCCCAGUAGCGGCGAGCGAACGGGGAGCAGCCCAGAGUCUGAAUCAGCUUGUGUGUUAGUGGAACGGUCUGGAAAGUCCGACGGUACAGGGUGAUAGUCCCGUACACCAAAAUGCACAGGCUGUGAACUCGAAGAGUAGGGCGGGACACGUGGUAUCCUGUCUGAAUAUGGGGGGACCAUCCUCCAAGGCUAAAUACUCCUGACUGACCGAUAGUGAACCAGUACCGUGAGGGAAAGGCGAAAAGAACCCCGGCGAGGGGAGUGAAAAAGAACCUGAAACCGUGUACGUACAAGCAGUGGGAGCACCUUCGGGUGUGACUGCGUACCUUUUGUAUAAUGGGUCAGCGACUUAUAUUCUGUAGCAAGGUUAACCGUAUAGGGGAGCCGCAGGGAAACCGAGUCUUAACUGGGCGUUAAGUUGCAGGGUAUAGACCCGAAACCCGGUGAUCUAGCCAUGGGCAGGUUGAAGGUUGGGUAACACUAACUGGAGGACCGAACCGACUAAUGUUGAAAAAUUAGCGGAUGACUUGUGGCUGGGGGUGAAAGGCCAAUCAAACCGGGAGAUAGCUGGUUCUCCCCGAAAGCUAUUUAGGUAGCGCCUCGUGAACUCAUCUUCGGGGGUAGAGCACUGUUUCGGCUAGGGGGUCAUCCCGACUUACCAACCCGAUGCAAACUACGAAUACCGAAGAAUGUUAUCACGGGAGACACACGGCGGGUGCUAACGUCCGUCGUGAAGAGGGAAACAACCCAGACCGCCAGCUAAGGUCCCAAAGUCAUGGUUAAGUGGGAAACGAUGUGGGAAGGCACAGACAGCCAGGAUGUUGGCUUAGAAGCAGCCAUCAUUUAAAGAAAGCGUAAUAGCUCACUGGUCGAGUCGGCCUGCGCGGAAGAUGUAACGGGGCUAAACCAUGCACCGAAGCUGCGGCAGCGACACUAUGUGUUGUUGGGUAGGGGAGCGUUCUGUAAGCCUGCGAAGGUGUGCUGUGAGGCAUGCUGGAGGUAUCAGAAGUGCGAAUGCUGACAUAAGUAACGAUAAAGCGGGUGAAAAGCCCGCUCGCCGGAAGACCAAGGGUUCCUGUCCAACGUUAAUCGGGGCAGGGUGAGUCGACCCCUAAGGCGAGGCCGAAAGGCGUAGUCGAUGGGAAACAGGUUAAUAUUCCUGUACUUGGUGUUACUGCGAAGGGGGGACGGAGAAGGCUAUGUUAGCCGGGCGACGGUUGUCCCGGUUUAAGCAUGUAGGCUGGUUAUCCAGGCAAAUCCGGAUAAUCAAGGCUGAGGUGUGAUGACGAGGCACUACGGUGCUGAAGUAACAAAUGCCCUGCUUCCAGGAAAAGCCUCUAAGCAUCAGGUAACAUUAAAUCGUACCCCAAACCGACACAGGUGGUCAGGUAGAGAAUACCAAGGCGCUUGAGAGAACUCGGGUGAAGGAACUAGGCAAAAUGGUGCCGUAACUUCGGGAGAAGGCACGCUGGUGUGUAGGUGAAGUCCCUGCGGAUGGAGCUGAGACCAGUCGAAGAUACCAGCUGGCUGCAACUGUUUAUUAAAAACACAGCACUGUGCAAACACGAAAGUGGACGUAUACGGUGUGACGCCUGCCCGGUGCCGGAAGGUUAAUUGAUGGGGUUAUCCGUAAGGAGAAGCUCUUGAUCGAAGCCCCGGUAAACGGCGGCCGUAACUAUAACGGUCCUAAGGUAGCGAAAUUCCUUGUCGGGUAAGUUCCGACCUGCACGAAUGGCGUAAUGAUGGCCAGGCUGUCUCCACCCGAGACUCAGUGAAAUUGAACUCGCUGUGAAGAUGCAGUGUACCCGCGGCAAGACGGAAAGACCCCGUGAACCUUUACUAUAGCUUGACACUGAACAUUGAGCCUUGAUGUGUAGGAUAGGUGGGAGGCUUUGAAGCGUGGACGCCAGUCUGCGUGGAGCCAACCUUGAAAUACCACCCUUUAAUGUUUGAUGUUCUAACGUUGGCCCCUGACCGGGGUUGCGGACAGUGUCUGGUGGGUAGUUUGACUGGGGCGGUCUCCUCCCAAAGCGUAACGGAGGAGCACGAAGGUUAGCUAAUCCUGGUCGGACAUCAGGAGGUUAGUGCAAUGGCAUAAGCUAGCUUGACUGCGAGCGUGACGGCGCGAGCAGGUGCGAAAGCAGGUCAUAGUGAUCCGGUGGUUCUGAAUGGAAGGGCCAUCGCUCAACGGAUAAAAGGUACUCCGGGGAUAACAGGCUGAUACCGCCCAAGAGUUCAUAUCGACGGCGGUGUUUGGCACCUCGAUGUCGGCUCAUCACAUCCUGGGGCUGAAGUAGGUCCCAAGGGUAUGGCUGUUCGCCAUUUAAAGUGGUACGCGAGCUGGGUUUAGAACGUCGUGAGACAGUUCGGUCCCUAUCUGCCGUGGGCGCUGGAGAAUUGAGGGGGGCUGCUCCUAGUACGAGAGGACCGGAGUGGACGCAUCACUGGUGUUCGGGUUGUCAUGCCAAUGGCACUGCCCGGUAGCUAAAUGCGGAAGAGAUAAGUGCUGAAAGCAUCUAAGCACGAAACUUGCCCCGAGAUGAGUUCUCCCUGAGACUUUAAGUCUCCUGAAGGAACGUUGAAGACGACGACGUUGAUAGGCCGGGUGUGUAAGCGCAGCGAUGCGUUGAGCUAACCGGUACUAAUGAACCGUGAGGCUUAACCUU
rnacentral:rRNA from 1 species